GUGUGGGUGUGUGUGUGUGUGUGUUGUCCUAGAACUCAUUCUUUCUUAUCAUUAGCUGAAGCUCCAGAGGUUAAGAACUAUAUAAUCCUUGCUAAGUGCCCUCACCUCCACACCUAUGCUGGAUAAGCAAAGAAUUUGGAAGAAAGAUUCUGUGAAUGUUAAUAAUCAACCAGUUGGUCUAUUGGAUGAGGAUUGAAGGGUUGACAGAGAGAGGAUACCUUUAGAGAGAGUUUUCCUUUAGUAAGGGUAACAGAGUAGGAUGUCUUACCAUCACAUAUAGCCAGUGAGAAGAGCUUCAAAGUUUAUUUAUAUCCCCAAAGUUUAGGUAACUUGUGUCUCAUUCUUGACAAGAGGAUUCUAAAGGCAAGAAACUGUAGGUAGAGAAACAUAUUUGGCAGUGAAGACAAAAGGAAAGAAGGCUAUCUUGCAAGCAAACUACACCUUCACAGUUAGAAAAGGUAUCUGUAAGUUUUUCUUGAGACUCACAGGAAAGACAGAGUCAGGACAAUCCUUGAAAUGAAUUUUAUCCACAAAAGCUACCAGGAAUGGUGAAGUCACCAGGAAGCAGAAUAGAUCACUGUAAGCCCAGGGGCUGAAGUUUCAGUUGCUGGGAAGAGCAGAGUCGUUAUCUGCAUCAAGGAAAUUGCAAUUGGAGAGAUCUCAUGGGCUAAUCGUUGAGAAACCCAUUAAACACCUCUAAAGAAGAAGUGAACUUUGAACAUGCGAAACCCAAAGUGCAUCAGUGCUAAUGAUGACAGUUCUAGCUAGCCACAGACGCCUGGGGAUGGGGAAACUAUUUCUCUUGUCCCUCUUUCCCUGGGCAUCAUCUUGUGAUACUAUGACUUGGGGCUGGGGGUGUAGCUGCCUCAGUAAUGACCUUUACCUCCGCUAACUUUCCAACCUGACUUAGUACUGAGCUAAAUGAGGAAAGAAGUCCACUGUUGACAGUUCAGAAUUGUGAUUAUUACACUGGACUGGACCUUUUAAUUACCAAAACAAGACUGCUAAUAUGAAUAAAAUGAUGAAAGGAUUAUUAAGUCUCUAAGACUAAAAACUGUAGGAAUUGCUUGAUAUGUCAUCAGGGGCAAAAAAAGAAUUACCCCACAGAGUUGUUUACUUAUAAUAAAUAAGCCUGGAAUCUAUGGAUUUAUGAGGCAUGCCUCUGUGAAGAAUGUCAUGUAAACUAUACACAUCCCUCUGGGGUAUAAAAUAACAAUAUUUCAUAAUUUAAUUUUUUCCUGCUGUAUGUUUUCAAACUCAUCUGUUAUUCUAGGCCAGAGGUGAAUGUUUGACACAGGGAAGACAGACAUGGAGGGAGACGCCUUCACUCUUCAGGACUUGCUGUGCCUUUUGGUUGUUUAUCUCCUUGAAAUUAUUUAAGGAUUAUGAUGGGAGCCUGGCACCUGUCUUCUGUGUUUAUUUCCCUUCACAGCCAGUGGAAAUUGUAGUCACAAAAGGGAGCUAAACUGGAAUGUGGAACUUUGGACCUGUUCAUUCUAUGCCAGAUCAAAGGCAGAUGGUGUUAAAUCAGGAAGAAUACUGGCCUUGAGUUGCAAUUUUGGGUUGGCCUCAGCUCUUCUACUUAUUAACUUUGUGAUCCAGAGCAACUCAUUGAAAAGUGAAGCUUCCAAGGAGCAGUGGGAUAGGACAUCCAGUGAUACCUGUCAAUGACCUUUCUUGUUCUUGGGAGGUUGAGAAACAAGCUCAUUAUUUCUGAAGAGCAUCAAUUGAAGAACACUUUGAAGCCUAUUCCUAGUCUGAACCAUCCCCCCACCCUUGAGGAGUUGUUCUACAGCCCACAGUGCUACGUUGUGGAAGGCAGCCUAUGCUUAAUGUUGGCACUUUGGUAAAUAUUGCUGCUUUCAUGUAUCCAUUCUUUAAAAAAUUUGUAAGAAAAGAGGAUUAGAGAAUGCUAUGUAAUCUUAGAAAAUGAAAGAAGAACAAAAUGUAUGUGUAUGUUCAGAAAUGGAAGGAUGAAUGGCAUUUUAGUUAUCUUGGUUAUGUCCUGCUUUUCCUAGUAGACUGUGAGCUUCUUAAGGACAUUAUGACCCUUGUUUAAUUUACCUUUAUAUAUAUUUUCAUAUUAUUAAAAUAGGGUUGUGGGCUAACAUUUGCUUA